AUGAAGACAUCCACUGGAGCUUCCUUCAUGUUCUUGUGGCUGCAGCUGGACUGGGUCAGCCGAGGAGAGAAAGUGGAGCAGAGUCCUUCUACCCUGAGUGUCCAGGAGGGAAACCCCGCUGUUAUCACCUGUUCUUAUUCAGACAGUGCCUCAAACUACUUUCCUUGGUACAAGACAGAACCUGGAAAAGGCCCCCAGCUCAUUAUAGACAUUCGUUCAAAUAAGGACAAAAAAGAAGAUGGAAGACUCACUGUUUUAUUGAAUAAAGAGGCCAAGCAUCUCUCCCUGCAAAUUGCGGCCACGCAGCCUGGAGACGCAGCUGUGUACUUUUGUGCAGCGAGUGCACAUUGCUCCCCAGGCACCUGCACCCUGUACACAAACCUGCAAGGGGGCAGCCCCCUCUGCUUGGGACAGACCUUCAAGCAUAGCAUUUGUCAUAUUGCCUGUCUCCAAGGGGAAACUAAUGUGUUAUGUAAUUGUUUUAAAAUCAAGGGUUGGUUAAUCCAAAAGGAAGUUUGGGUUGAUGACACUCUCAGCCAGUACAUAGAGAAGUCUGACGUGACCCACAGCAACUUGCUGCACCAGGAAACCCUGUUUCCUGUUCAGGGGCAGCAGCAGCAGCACAUAACCCAGCAUUUCUUCUCUCCCCCUGUCAGAGUCACCUCACUUUGCUGA